rnacentral:lncRNA from 1 species
CGUGUCAGGAGAUGAUGUUGUGGCUUGCUGCUGUGCAAAUAAAGAUUGAUUGAUUGAUUGAUUGAUUGAAUUAUUUUCCUCUGUUCAGGUUUUCAGAUCAGACUGAGAGACGGAGAAGAUCUGAUCCAGGAGCUGCAGAGAAACACGACAGUGUUCGAGCGGCGGCUGAGCGGCGCCGACCGCCUGCUGCUGGCGCUGCAGACUCAGAGUUCAGCUCAGUUGGAUCAACUCUCCUCCGUUGAGUCCAGACUGACAGACGGACUGAACAGCACCACAGGUUCAGAUUGAUUCCCUUCACAGUUUGUACAACACACUUGAUGAUGAUUAUUGAUAAAUCUGAUAGUUACUGUUUCCUGUUCAGCUCUGCAGCUCCGACUGAGCAUCUGUGAGAAACAGCUGGAACACCUGGAGACAGAGAACACAGGUAACACUGCAGGUGAACAUGUCUCAAACACACGGGUCAGGUUUCUGUGUUUCUGUCUCAUCCUGGUUCUGUUGCAGGUUUUGGCCUCAGGCUGAAUCAGACUGACGAUCGUCUGCAGGAGCUCACAGACACAAACUCAGGUGGGCUGGAGCUGAAGGUGGCGUUCUCAGCCGGUCUGACUGAUUCAGGAUCAGUUGGACCGUUUGACAAGGAGACGACUCUGAUCUUCUCCAAAGUCAUCACCAACGUGGGCGGAGCCUACAACCAGACCGCAGGUGACGUGUACUUCAGCUGGUUGGAUAUAUACGUAGAUAGACGAUGUCAUGUGAUCUCAUCUUUUUUGAUGGACUUCUCCUUUAAACCCUCCCUCCUGUGUGACUGUGUUAACUCCGCCCUGCUCUGUGUCUGUCAGGUGUGUUAACUCCGCCCUGCUCUGUGUCUGUCAGGUGUGUUAACUCCGCCCUGCUCUGUGUCUGUCAGGUGUGUUAACUCCGCCCUGCUCUGUGUCUGUCAGGUGUGUUAACUCCGCCCUGCUCUGUGUCUGUCAGGUGUGUUAAAGGUCUCAUAUUAUGACAAACAGGUUUUCUCUGGUCUCUACAUAUAUAAGCUGGUCCUCGCUGAGCCUGUGGUCCACCCACUGGUAACACGGAGCUCCUACAGGCUGUUCAGAUUCUGCUCCUGUCGUUACGUAACAAAAGGAGUCAUUAUCGUAGCCCCGCCUCCUCUGAGCGGUGAUAGGAGAUAUCCGAGAGAGGGGGCGUUCAUCCCCGAGGUGAAGUUCAGUGUGUCCAGCGGAGAGACAGCGGUGUUUCACGAUGUCGUCGCUCAGAGUUAGACACGCAGUUGCUCUGUUGUUGGUUGUAUAAAUCAACAUCAGUGCCUAUAUUCUGUCCCAGCUACAGAACAACAGAAGAGACUGUGGUUGUGUUUCAUUUUUAAUGACAACGUGCCGGCUGCGGUUCGUGUUAGCUUGUAUGUGUGUGCUAACCUCUUUACAUCUGACUGCUUCAGUAACGAGUGUCAGUACAAAGCUGUCUUUGCCUCGACACUGACCCUCAUAAAAGGAUCAGUCCCAACCAUACCGGACCCAGCAACUGCACCCGAGCCACAGGUAAGUGUCGCCGCGGUUUGAUAGUAUUUACACUUGCCGAUGAGUAACGUUAUGGUGAAGUCAGCUGGAAACUAGCUAACUAGUUAGCUCCGCUUCGGUCCGCUAUGUUAUGGCAUUUGAAGCGAGUUUUAUGUUAAUAAUAUAACGAGGGAGCUUGGCUGUCACAGUAAAAAG